GAUGUGAUGGUGUAGUUGGUAACACACUUGCUCAAGUUAUGUAUGUCUGAGUAACCUGUGCGCAAGAGUUCUCGGUUCGAAUCCGGGUCAGGUCA